rnacentral:rRNA from 1 species
GCUGGCGGCGUGCCUAACACAUGCAAGUCGAACGUGAAGGCAAAGAGAAGUGCUUCGGUAUGGAUUUUUGCUGGAAAGUGGCGAACGGGUGAGUAACACGUGGGUGACCUGCCUCGGAGAGGGGGAUAACCAUUGGAAACGAUGGCUAAUACCGCAUAGUCCUGUUGUCGUGGGAAUGGCAGCGGGGAAAGCUCCGGCGCUUCGAGAGGGGCCUGCGACCGAUUAGUUAGUUGGUGGGGUAAAGGCUCACCAAGGCGAUGAUCGGUAGCUGGUCUGAGAGGACGAUCAGUCACACGGGAACUGAGACACGGUCCCGACUCCUACGGGGGGCAGCAGUGAGGAAUAUUGCACAAUGGGGGCAACCCUGAUGCAGCAACGUCGCGUGGAGGAUGAAGGUCUUUGGAUUGUAAACUCCUUUUUUCGGGGAAGAGAGAGGACGGUACCCGAAGAAUAAGUCACGGCUAACUACGUGCCAGCAGCCGCGGUAAUACGUAGGUGGCGAGCGUUAUCCGGAAUUACUGGGCGUAAAGGGCACGCAGGCGGUUCUGAAAGUCUGACGUGAAAGCUCCUGGCUUAACUGGGAGAGGUCGUUGGAAACUGGAGGGCUUGAGGCAAUGAGAGGGGUGCGGAAUUCCCGGUGUA